rnacentral:rRNA from 1 species
GACGAACGCUGGCGGCGUGCCUAAUACAUGCAAGUCGAGCGCAGGAAGCCGUCUGAACCCUUCGGGGGGACGAUGGCGGAAUGAGCGGCGGACGGGUGAGUAACACGUAAAGAACCUGCCCACGGGGCUGGGAUAACCACGAGAAAUCGGGGCUAAUACCGGACGGGUCAUUGGACCGCAUGGUCCGAGGAUGAAAGGCGCUCCGGCGUCGCCCGUGGAUGGCUUUGCGGUGCAUUAGCUAGUUGGUGGGGUAACGGCCCACAAAGCGCGACGCUGCAUAGCCGACCUGAGAGGGUGAUCGGCCACACUGGGACUGAGACACGGCCCAGACUCCUACGGGAGGCAGCAGUAGGGAAUCUUCCACAAUGGACGAAAGUCUGAUGGAGCAACGCCGCGUGAACGAUGAAGGCCCUCGGGUCGUAAAGUUCUGUUGUAAGGGAAGAACAAGUGCCGCAGGCAAUGGCGGCACCUUGACGGUACCUUGCGAGAAAGCCACGGCUAACUACGUGCCAGCCGCCGCCGUAAGAC